rnacentral:rRNA from 1 species
UACGUAGGGGGCUAGCGUUGUCCGGAUUUAUUGGGCGUAAAGAGCGUGUAGGCGGCCAGGUAGGUCUGCUGUGAAAACUCGAGGCUCAACCUCGAGACGUCGGCGGAAACCAUCUGGCUAGAGUCCGGAAGAGGAGAGUGGAAUUCCUGGUGUAGCGGUGAAAUGCGCAGAUAUCAGGAAGAACACCCGUGGCUAAGGCGGCUCGCUGGGACGUGACUGACGCUGAGACGCGAAAGCGUGGGGAGCAAACAGG